GACGAACGCUGGCGGCGUGCUUAACACAUGCAAGUCGAACGGAAAGGCCCUGCUUUUGUGGGGUGCUCGAGUGGCGAACGGGUGAGUAACACGUGAGUAACCUGCCCUUGACUUUGGGAUAACUUCAGGAAACUGGGGCUAAUACCGGAUAGGAGCUCCUGCUGCAUGGUGGGGGUUGGAAAGUUUCGGCGGUUGUGGAUGUACUCGCGGCUUAUCAGCUUGUUGGUGGGGUAGUGGCUUACCAAGGCUUUGACGGGUAGCCGGCCUGAGAGGGUGACCGGCCACAUUGGGACUGAGAUACGGCCCAGACUCCUACGGGAGGCAGCAGUGGGGAAUAUUGCACAAUGGGCGGAAGCCUGAUGCAGCAACGCCGCGUGCGGGAUGACGGCCUUCGGGUUGUAAACCGCUUUCGCCUGUGACGAAGCGUGAGUGACGGUAAUGGGUAAAGAAGCACCGGCUAACUACGUG
rnacentral:rRNA from 1 species